GGAUAGGACAGAUAGCAAGAAACCAAACGGUGCAGAGGCAAACAAAGGAACCCUGAGGAUCCCAUCAGCAGUGAUUGCUUUGCACACGAACGGGCUUGCUGGGAGGACUGACCAAACCUCAGUGAUAACAUCAGUGCUCCUCAGCUGAAAGUGGGAAGCUUGUAUUGCUCUACUGUUGUCAUAAGAAGGCACAGACUUUGGAAGCAGCAGCUCGUUCCUCUUACAAAUUUGCAGUGUAUUCUCCUUUUUUCCAUUCUGUACCAUUGAGUGUGAUGAUGAUGAUGGUAACUGAAGGAAACUUUUGUUUGCUUUGUUUGUUUUUCUGUUUUGUUUUGUUUUUCCCUGACUUUAUUUUUGAGCUACUAAUUUCAUUAUUUGAGGGUGUGUAUAAGAUUCUGGAAGCACAUUUUACAUCUGCUGUGCUGUGAGAUCUUUGGUAUGGUAUUGACUCAUUCAUUGGCACCUGAGAGAGGUUUGGGGAAUUCAGCAAGCUUUCAACAAUCCAGUUUGAGAGACUACACAGAAUUAUGUCUCGCUCAGGUUCGUCCUAAUUUUAUUAGAUUUCCACCAUUUCUAAUUGCAUAAACAUAUGCAGCCAAGUGUACAGAUGGGGACUGGGAAGACGUACAAGGACACUCAGAGUCUGUAGUCAGCUAAUUGGUGGACUAAGUAAUAGGGCACUUGGAAAGAUUGAUAAUUUUUUUUCAGAGCAUUUCAGGAGAAAAUUCUGUCCCCGUUAAAACUGUGGCAAUCAAGAGAAGAAAGAUUUUAGCAGUAGAUUUUUUUGGAAAUGGAGGAAGAGAUGAGCGUAAAAAUUUGAUGCAGAAAAAAAUCCAAGAGGAAGUAUGUUGUUAUGGGCAAGAUCUGCUGUUUUAGCCAUAGAAAGAAGGAUAGAGUGUUUCAAAAACAUAGAACAACUGGCUUGAUCCGUAUGGUGACAUCAGAAAUCUUUUGAUCAGGGCUAAAUACAACAGUUUCAAAUAUUGCCUGGGUAAAUGAGAAGUCAUUUAGUAUGAACACUGUUACUGGUAGGAAAUGCCAAAUUGUAUAAUGUUUUCAGAAAUAUUUUAUAUUUUCUUUUGGAAAAUAAAUGUUUUUGCUAGGACUAGAAAAGGUAUUGGACCACAAAUCCCAUUUCUGGUCAAAUGAUACCAUCUGAGGUACUGUCUGUUUAUAUGAGUGCCUUCACAUAAAGUAACACUGCUGUCCAUUCUUGUUCAGGAGAUGCUGCUGUUGGCUUAUUCCCUACCAUCACAGCAGGAGGGGACAGGAGGGAAAAAUCUUUGCUCAGUUUUUUGUUAUGAUCCAUCUUCAUCCAUGAUAUGGCAUCUGCACUGUGGAAUUCCCCUGAAUGAAAGGGAAUGACAACGUCUUCACCUCCUGAAGACAGGAUACAGCUCUCAGACUGAAUUAGCUGCAGCUGGAUAGCUUUUUGAAAUCUCCACAGUUAUCAGACCUGGAAGAUUUUUCUAUCGUGAUGGCCUGGGCUAGGCAUUUGGUGGACAGGCUGUCUCUGACAGAAGAAUACAGUUCAUCAAAAGUGUCUGCAGGUUGUCAAACUCAGUGAGAUUUGGGGACACUCGGAGGCUGUCAUGGCCAACAAGAAGAUUUUCUGUAGGGUUCUGCCAUCAUUCACCCUCAGGAAAUAAUCACUCACUACAUUCUGCAUGCUCUCAUGAUAGAGCUCUAUUUGAGAGAAAAGAGCCAUUUUAUCAAAGGACAAUAUAUCCCUUCUCUUGGUCCAUGCAGCUUCCAUUAUCAGACCAUAAUAAAUCAUAUUUAUGUUCUCAGUUAAUAAGACUGAUUACAAUGCAGGUUACAGGCAUGGGAAAAGCAAAGCAGGUGAAAAGAUGUUUUAAUGAAAAUAUGAUAAGCAAACAGCUUCUUGUGAACAUUUCAGGCUGUUAUUUGUAAUGAUCACAGGCAAUUUUUGAUACAUCUUCUUUAGCAAUGGUUUAAGCUGCAUAAAUUGGCUUGCCACUUUAUACGUUGAAAUAGGAAGAAUCCCAGUGUCCUUAUGUUGUCUAGAAUCAUUAUAUACAUUAUAAGCAUAAAAUGAGUUUAAUGUAUGUGCUUUGAAAAGAAGGGGAAAACAGAAAAUCAGGGAGGACUGAUUUUAAUGCUGCUCAAAAUGAUUUUGAAAUUUUCUGUUCAUCUUUGUUACUAACGGUGCAUUUUCCAUGAAAUUUAGGAAUGACAUGUGGUGCUUUCAUCUCCUUAAAAUUAAUAUAUUUCUCUUUCUGUUUUCCUCAAUUUCUUCAAAGUUCUUUUUAGAACACUGUGCAAAGAGACAGAGAGAAAAUUUUCCUCUCGAUGAGUGAAUAUAUCUGUUAUUAAUGCUGGGGGGGAGUUAAGUGUGUGCUUCUAGAGGAGAAUAUACCCCUGCAUUAAAUAUUGAAAUAAACAGUAUUAAAGAGGUGCAAGGAUAUUUGGCUGCAGCACACCUGAUGCAUUCAAGGGCCAAAUUCCUUAGAAUCUUUUAAAGUGAUUAAGAUCUUUUCUGUUAAGAGUUCUCCAAUGAUUUCAGAGUAUAACUGUACCUAAAUAGCUGAUGAAAUGUCCUGCUCUUGUCUUUUGAAAAGCUUUCUUUUAUGUUUUAUUGUUUUCUUUUUUGUUGCUGUUGUAGUCAUUUGGUUUAUGUUGAGCAUCAUAUUUUCAAGACAAAGUUAAAAAUUUAAAGAAUAAUUUCCUCCUGCUAGCACGUAAUGCUGACUAAGUAUUUCAAAAUCUACAGCACUUGCAGAAUGCAAGCAUUAUGCUUAUAAUUUUUAUAAUGAUUCUAGACAAUAUAAGAAGGACACUGGGAUUCUUCCUAUUUUGAUAUAUAAAGUGGCGAGCAAAUGCAGAAGUCUCCAUGGUGUUGUGUGUCUGCAGGAAAUGUUCUGAUACUUCUGCAACUCUCUUAAACAAAUGUUAAAGCUUUGUAAUGGGCCUGGCAAUGGAGAAUGACCAUGAAAUUCCCUUAACCCUUAUAGGGCACUUCAGCAGGAGAAGUGAUCACACAAGAAACAAUAAACUGCUCUUCAAAGGCAGUAUCCUGAUAUGACAACAGACAUAGAUAAUGCACUUCAUGAUGGAACUGCUUGAUACGGGGAAAAACAUGUUGUAACUGCCUUCAGUAUGAAAGGGGUUUAAAAAUGCUGCUUGCCAACUCCGCAAAAAACAGAGCUGCUAUUUCAGUUAAAGGCCAGUGGAUUGUAUUUUUCAUGUCAGUUUUCACUAACCUCAAACAUCACUGUUAUGACAGACUGUCAUCCAACCAAACCAGCACUGUGAUGCCAUUCAGGCAAGAAGGAAGAAAGCAAACACAAAGGAAACUUAGAAGUCCGAAUAGUGAGAGGGGGUGUCUGUGAGUGCACUUUUGUGCAGUGAUACUGAUUACUGAAAAUGAAACACUUAAAAGAAAAUAAACCCAAAAAAGUGCUUUCUGAGCCAUUGGUGCUUUCUUGCCUGCCCAUUUCUCUUUGUUCUGUUUCAUGACAUCAGCCUUAAUGGUUGAAAGGAUGUUCUGGGCCAGAUGUCAAUCACUAUGUCUAACAUAAACAAAAAUAGCUAAAAAGACAUGCCAGCAUCUUCCUUUUGUUUUCCCAUUAGCUCCAUUUUUCUUUUCAGAGGCUGACAAAAAAUUACUGCCUCCGAGUGAAUUCAGUAAUGUCACUAUAUAUCUAAUAUCUAGGAGACCUUUUGUUUUAGCUUUACUGGGCUUAACCACAAAAGACACUUGACAUUGACAAAGAGUCUGUCAAAUACACAAUGAUCAGUGCAAUGAAAUCUCUCAUGACAGAAGGGCACUAUUCUGCACCCCCAGCCCGCAGCAGCCUGUCUGAGCAAAAUGUGCCGGAGCACACGCAGCAGCUGAACCAUUGCAGAGUAGGCCAUAAGCUGAGAUGUGUCUUGUUUAAAGUGUCAUAGUAUAUUAGUGUAAUUAAAACCGCCAAAAGAAUAGAAAAGAUAGAUGGAAAUGUUACAUUACUUGUUUCUAGAGAUUAACCUCCAGCCAGAACUGAAAUACAGAGACACAUUUUGCAUGUCUUAGAGCUCUGAUAUGGAAGAAAACAAGCCUGAGAGUAUGUCUCUUGAAGUGUGAGACAUGAAGUCAUAGUUCCUGUAUUUACACAAUAAAGCAGAAAUAGCGUUUCAGACAGGCACGCUGUUUUCUCUCUGAUUACAGCUCCCGUUGUGGCUGUACUCUGCAAAGCAGCUGUAUCAUCUCUCAGCUACUUCCCUUUUACUCUCUCUGCCUUCAUGCUUGGAAGGUCUUGAGGACCCUUGGGCCCACGAAUGUGCUGGUGUCAAUGCUUUCUGCUCCCUUGGCAUCUGCCAAUGUUGUGUGGUUCUAGCCUGGAGGCAGAGCACCCUGUCCGCUCUGGUGGCUGCAGAAGCCAGAGCUCAGCUCCAGACUCAGCAACAGCCAGCUAGGAAGAUGUUUGAAGAAUCUGACCUUUGUAUAUACCAGGCUGCGUGCUUGCUUCUCUGUUGAGUCUAUAGAUAAAACUGCAUGGCUUUCUGAAAUGGACCCUGAAAAUUAUGUUCUUGGCACUGUAUGUUUUCCUUCUUGUGCAUCAUUACUUGUGAUAACUAUUCAAGCCUAACUAGUUAUCUAGAUCUCUGUUUCUAACUAGAUCUCUGUUUCUAACCGUGACACAAGUUAUAUCUGGUGGUGAGAAAUUUUUGGAGUUUUUUAUGGAGCUGUUCAGCUGUAUAGGCUGAACCUUGGUUUAUCUAGAAUCUGGAGAGGACCUGAUCUGGCUUCAGCAGUUCUGAAACACUACAAAAGCAGCAUGGCUUUCUUCUGAAAUUUUUUCAUUUCAUUUCUUAAUGCAAGGAGAAGAUGCAUUAAUCAGGUAGGUCUCAUGUUCAUUUCUUCCACUAUAAAUGAACUUCAAGGCCUUGCCCCAUUAGUUGAUCAGUUUGAAUUUGAGAGAUGUUAAAUAUAGGCCUUACAUUUUAGGUUUCCUCAUAUGUCCUCUAUUUCCCAGCUUUAAAUAUCAGUUAAUGACUUCUCCAUAUAGCACUUCUCUUUAAUUUCUAGUCAGAGGCUUUAAAUGUGCACUGUUAGUCAAAAAUAUGUUAUCUGCAUUUAGUGGUGGCUUCUGGAGCCCUCACCAUGAAGUUACCUCACAAUCGCAUCUCUCCUCACAUGAUUUUCUGAGUACUGCCAGGAGAAGAAUGGAAAAUAACUAUGAAAUAAAAGCAGAUUCUGCUCCCAGUACAGGCAAUGAAAACUCUUUUACUUCUACUUGCUCAUAAUAGUGGGGGGAAAAAUGAAGUGGAAACAAGCACAACAAAACACCUCUGCCAGCUAUCUUUAAGCUAACCAAGGCUUCCACUAAUGAGGUGGUCUGGCAUUUUGAGAAAGACAGGUUUUUUCCAGAAAUGGAAAAAAUAUGCUAUUUUUUUUCCUUUGACUCUGAGAGCAUAGUGAGAGAGAAAGAAAUCAUAUUUCAAAAAGCAAACUUUUAAUGCUGUCUGUAUUAUUAAGUGCUUACAGACACCAGUAUAGUUUCUUGUCAGUUAUGUUUUUGCAUAUUUGUUUGUUAGAUUACUAAGUACUUUCCUAAAAACUAGAUAUUUGCUGUAUUUACAGAUUCAUCUCAGUGACUGUGAAAUUCCUGAGGAUGUUAUCACUUUCAAGUCAGAUUAACAGAGUAAUUUCCAGUUACCACCAGUGAAGAGAUUCCUACCAAUGCUGGCAGGCAAUUGUUCAGUCUUAUGGAGCUUCAAAUAACUGUACAGCUUGAAAGUCUAAGCAUUACACACCUUCUUUGAAGACCUACCAGACAGAACCCCCAGAGGUCCUUUGUUUUGUAGUUCACCGAGCAGUGAGCCAAACAGUGGAUCUGUGGGUGCUUUUGGGUCAUCUUCGUCUUGGGGCUUUCUUCUGAGAGACCACCUCUGUUUAGACUGGAGUCCUUCUGAACUGUGGGAAAGAGCUCUUCCAGCUGCCGAGUGGUGACCCCAGACAUCAUCCUGAGGAGAUGUCCCAGAGCAUCUGUCUGGACUGUGAGGUUGCUUUCAGGCUGCUUUGAGUGAUCAUCAGGGGAGGGUAUGGAUGGUACUCGAAUCCUGACCUACGUCUCACACUCUUGUUCUAGACCCUGGUGCAAGCUGCUAAGCCAGGCUGCCUUUCCCUCCUCCUUUUAACUCACGUGUUCUUUGGCAUGCCUCCAAACUGAAUGCAGUAUGGAGGAGAAGGUCUGCAAGUUUCUGGAGCAUAUAUACACAUGUGGUCAGAUCCCCAUCUCGUUAAAUUAGCAUGUGGAGUGGAGACCAGCUACUGAUUUAUGUUUUCAUCUGUGAAAGGUAAAUUGGAUUGAAACUGUUUAACACACUGUUUAAAAAGAGGAGCUGAGAUUCUUGGUUACAUUUGAUUUCUAAAUUAGAAAGCACAUGACUAUGUUUCAUGGACCUGAAAGAACUGGGUCUGAGUUAAUAUCAUGCCUAUACCAUUGAUUUCACUUGAGCCUUUUGUAUCAGAAACCACAUGUACACAGAGACUCACAUUGUGAAGCAAGAUUAAUUUAGCUUUUGGAAUAUUAUGUGCUGUAUAAGAAUGUUCUGUGAAUGACCUGGAUUGCAAAUUUUGCUUCUUAAUAUUUGCAGUGCAAAGCACUGGUGACAUGAAAUACUUAAUGGUUUCAGCUGAACUUUGCAGAAAUGAGAAUGACAGGCACCCAAAAUAAGAUACAUGGUGGAGAGCUAAGCAACGUAAGACCUACUGAGUUAGAUAUUUAAGCCUCAAUCAAAAUGAUAAUAUAGAUGUGAAAGUGGUUGCAAAGAAUUUAGAGCUGCAGUCCUAGGAACAAAAAGAGAUGGCCCCUCUCUUGCAGAAAGUUAAUCUGUUAUUACUCUCAGCUCUAAUUAUGGGGAGCACAACAGAGUGAGUUACCAGGAAUAUUUCCCUGUUAUAGUUUAAGAGGUUAUUUUAGUGUUUCAAAAAUGUAUCCACUUUUAGGGCCAAAACUCUUGGUUCUUCUCUUUGAAUUGUUAUAGCAAUAGCUGAAAUAGAGCAAGCUUCCUAUGGUGAACCUACCUUAAAGAAUAGGGCCACUUGAGUUAAUAGAAGUAAAUUAAAUGUGUGCAAGCUCAGUUUUUGAUGUGCUUCCUAGCAGUACCAAUUCAACUCAUCCAAGUUCCUAAAGGAACAUGGAAAUGAGGCUAUUACCCGUAAGCGAAAGCCGCUAUAUAUUGUCCUAGUGAUCCCUUAUGUGCAGUUGCACUUCAACAUUACCCACUUUUAUGUCAGUAAAAAAUUGGACUACUUGGCAGUUGCAAUUGCUGAGUUUAUGAAGCUUAAGCAGCAUAGAUUACAGCUUUGUACUGGACAAGAGACAGUAAAACCAUGGGUCUCCUCUGUUGUGGUUCUUGCUGGUUACCAACCAAUAUCUGCUAUUUUUCCCAAGCACAUAGAUAUGCUUCUGCAGAAAUUAUCCUUGCUCCAGUAACAGAGAUAGUAAACAUGUUCCUUACUCAUAGUAAUGAGAUGCAGAAAUACCAACUUUUCUUGAACUCAGUAUUGCUGAUAAUAACUUUUACUCUUAGAAAUUUGCAUUCUUCCAUGUGUCUGGAUUGAUUCCAGCCUUACAUGUUCAUGUGCUCUCCUAGACCAAACAAAUUUCCUCCUCAGUGCCUCGCUGAAACACCACAUUUUGCUGCCUGCUUGGUCCUUCCCCACAGAAGAGGCCAAACAAGCAUUCCCUAAAGCACCACAAGUAAAGCCAGCCUGGUUAGCUCAUAUCCAUGUUCAUCACCAGGUGAAAUGAAUCUGGCUGACUUAGCUUAAAGCAGAUUAGAAGGCAAUUUGUGAUCCCUCUCACUAAUGGAGCAGUAUGCUGGGUACCCAGAUGGCAGCAGCAAGCACUGAAAUAGGGCUAUCGCCUCCCAGAAGAGCUUCCAUGCAGCCUCAGGUUUUCUCACCACUCCCAUCAUUAAACACAGUUUCGCACCCCUGAACUUUCAUGCUUUUUCUACAUAACUUCAUUUAUUUUUACCUUAGUGGCCAUAACUAAAGAUAUAUUUUGACAUUUUAAAUGAGUCUUCUCUGUUCAGCCUGCUCUGCCUGUCUUUAUUAAUUAAACUUGUGUCUUCAUAUCAGAUUUCUUGAGCUCAUCUCUUUCCGUUUCAGCUCUUUGCUUUCCAUUUGCCUUCAUUAUACCCUUCCAUCCUUGAACUGCACUGAACUCUUGCUCCUUCCACAUCUUCCUGUACAAUACUCAGAUCUGCUACAUCUCUGCCUAAUUUUAUCAUGGCUGAUGCAAAAUCUUAGCUGCAGAACCAGCAGUAAGGGGACAGACUUUUCUCUUUGCCACAUUUGUUCUCAGUCUUCUAUAAAAUCUUGGCUGAAAAUGAAGGACAUUCUCUACUGUGACCAUAACUCUGCACCCCUCCUUUCUCUGCUAGUCUUCCUUCUGGGAUAUGUUUUAAUACAUUAUCAUCCAUGGUAACUGCACGGUUUGUAUCUGCAGCUUUUCAAUAUGCUUGGAGUCAGGGUUUUCCAGGUGAAUCAUGUAUUAAGAUUUAAUCUGAAUCUAGUCAGAUAGUAUUGACCUGCGUUGAAAAAGCUGUAUGAAUGAGAUAGUAGCAGACAGCUUGAAGUGCUGAGUGAAAAACAAUACUCCAGAAGUUUGGUGGCAGAGAGCCUAUGGGACAUUUCUUACUGGAAAAACUUCUUUGAUUAUUUAAAUAUUUUGAUCUAUUUUUAAAACUUUCCCUGUCUGUUGAAGGUUUGCUGGACUUUGCCUGCUUUGGCAGUGUGCGCAGCACGGAGCUUGCAGGAGCUGCUCACUGCUUGACAACCAUGUAACCAUGCUACCAGAACUCCUGAUACUACUCUUAAAGUGGACCUUUCUUUGAGAAAGAAAAUGAUUCCAUCUUUUUUGAUCAGGUUCUUCCUCUAGAGGAGUUCCUGCAGCUACAGGACCAGGAGAUAGGAGACUGCUGCAGGGAGGCAUGUGCAUUAGCAAAUGAAGUCUGAUACAUUGCAGCCAUGGGGAUCAAGUUGGAAGAGUGUGCAUUCACUGGAGCUCUGUAACCCAUGUGCUCUUCAGAUGACCUCAUACACCUCACAGUUGCCAGGACUCAUCCUGUCUGGAUUACAGGUUUCUCUCAUUUCUGCUUCUCUCAGUGAAGUUGUCCUCAGUGCUCACCUCACGUAAACAACUAGGCUCAGUGGAGGACCAUCCUCAUCUGGUGGCUCUUUGGCACAAGUGCCAUAACACUUGCUCAUUUAUUAUUAAAAAAAAUGUUAAAACUCAGAGGAUGAAGAAUGAAUUAAUCCUUGGAACAUGUGCAUAUGGUUUAAAGAGAAAUUCAACGCGUUUACUGAAUUCCUGUUUUUCAGAUGUCUGAGGUCAAGAAAAGGUUAAAGUUGUUCGCAAGCUCUGGCCUUAGAAGUUAAUUCAGUGCUAUGCUGCGAGAGCUACAGAGUGGGCCCUUGGAACAGUGAAUUGCUGGUUUGAUAUCAAGGUCUGUGGGCUUUAAUAAUAUAAUUAGUUUGUUUUCUAAGGAAAUCCUAGCAGGGAUAUUAUGGUCAUAUAAAGUCAUUAUACUGUUUUACAACAUAACUUUAAUGAUGUUUUGGAAUGAUCAGAGUCUCUGGGAAAGGAUUCUAUUUUUUAUUACUUGUGGGAUAUCUUUAAACUGUCAUAGCCACAACAGUGCUGCUUGGAAUAGGUGCUCUACAGUUCCAAAGAAAAGACAAAAGAUAUUUAGAGGCCUGAGUUGGGUUGCUGGAGCAUAUCUGUCCAUAGAAAGCCUGAAAGUUAAAUUGUGUGGAUUCCACACCCUUCUGACAAGCAGCUCCUGUUUUGUAGGAGGUGGACAGUUGGGGUAAUCUAGGUAUUUUAUUGCAUUACCACAAGAACAGAUAGAGAGCCUAGGAUGCUACAAGUUUUGCUUUUCAUAGUUCUCUGUCAGAAUUCAGGAGUGAGCAGUUUUAAAAGUAUUAGAAAAGGAAGAGGGCAUAUUUUCCAGAACUUUGGUAUCCUGCGAACUCAAAGACAGAAGAAAAAUUAAACUAGUCAAACUAAAAAACUAGUUCUGCUGCCAUUUCUGCUCUGCUAAUUCUGAGGCAACACUGUUUGCUGGAGGAGAAGAGAGACAAAGAACCAUUAAUUUGGGAUGAGGGGAGCAUGCUACAGAGAGGUUUCCCUGUGGUGCAGAGUGGCUUCUGGAUGUGCUGAGGGACGGGUCUGUUAGGGCCUCAUUUUCUUCCUCCUCUGUAAACUAUGUCUAACAGCUUCAAUGAGAGAAAGCAUCAAGCCCCAUCGUGUUCAUAGAAAUACAACAUAUUUUAAAGCUGUAGUUAAUGGAUAAGCUGCUUUCUGAUUGGGUGAGCUGCACAAUAAAUCUCUGCAUGAGCCAAGUGCAAUGCAGCUUGUUCAGGAACAGUGAAAUGAGCCACUGUCACUUUGCUGCACUCUCAUACAUCAGGCAAAACGCUUCCAUCUUCAUCAGUCUUUUAGUAAAACAGAAAUAAAACAAUCGUAACAGAAUGGUGUCACUGGAUCCGUGGCACCUGCUUUAAAAAUAAAUCUCUGAGCUUUGUCUUUGCUAUUAUUUUCAAUAAAUGUCCUAGCAUUGCCACAGCAUUUAUCUAGCAGCAGGAAACCAUUAUCCUAUGACAACAAUCUAUUCCAUUAACAUUAGCUCUUAAUUGUAAGAUUGUUUAUAAGACAGCAAAAGCUACUGAAUUAUACUAGAAUGAUAAAAAGAGUUAUGGUCAUGGAGUAUAGCAGUCACUCCAGUUCUGAAAAACAACUUUAGAAAAGUAGAGAGCUAUAUUUUCAUAUGAAAAAUAAUGUAAUAUUUGUAUGCGAGAAAAUGUUUUUAAAUAAUGUAUUACAUCAGCAACAUAACUCUUAAAGAGUUAAUGUUAAAAAUUGUUACUGAGAAGCUUUUGCUUUGAUAAAUAGCGUAAGAAAAAAGCUGAAUAGAAAGCUCAGAAACUUGCAUAGUUCUUCCUGAAAGGCUGUACUGAGUCAAACAGAGAAUCAUAGUAACAGAAGCACAUUUGUCUGGCGGAGUCAACAGAAGGAAUGUUGCAAAAUUGAGAUAUGAGGAACCUGACUGCAGAAAAGAAGAACUGUCAUUCUGAUUGUUUGUCAUUAUUGUUUCAUGUCCAGUUAAGUGAACUUCGAGUGACAGUUGUGCAAUAACUACUGGCAUCUAUGUAAAUUUCAAAUCAAAUGCAAUAGAGGCAGUUCUGCCAGACACAAGUCUCCAGACUGCUUUUCCUCUUUACUUUGGUAACCCUCAAUUUUCUUAUACUAUGCUGUUAGCCCUUAAAUUAAAAAGACAACUUCAACAAGAGAUCCCUUUAAUGUGUGCUUUUCAGAUCUCAUUCCGUACCUUAUUUUUCCCUCAGCUCUUCAAAACAAUAGCUGAUGUCAACAUUUCUAUCAGAAACAAUCACCAUAAACAUUUAGAUAUAUUAGCAGAAAGUGCUCCUUCCCAUCGAUCACAUACAUCAAAAUCCUUGGAAACUUUUAAGUUGUGGACUUCCCCUGAAGACCUAUAGAGAAAAUGGCUCAAGUGAACACUCCUCCGUUCCUUCAGUGGAGCCCGAGUCAGUUGUGACGAGCAUCUGCUCUGUGGGUAGGUGCAAAACACAGGGCGAAAAUAUCAGCUGUGGAUCCCUUCUGUAAAUAAUAGCCUCGUCCAGAGGUUAUGGGGCCUUCACAAGGACACCAGUCGCACCCCUCCAUGGCACUGUGUUGCAGUAAGUAACUCGCUUCCUGGAUGCACUUGUAACAGGCAGGUAUUCUAACGACACAGGAUAUGCAGAUGUGUCCAGGUCUUUAAAGUCUUCCAAUGCAAUUAUUAAAAUAUUACGUGCAGAUAACGCCACCAAAAACAUUGAGCAUGCUGUUCAUUCAAUUGAGCAUGAAACAACUUCCUCCUGAAUAUUUUAAACGUACUUGACUAAUUAAUUAAACAAUUAAUAAGGGCGAGAGUUAAAUUUCUAUUUUUCAUUGUAACAUUGUUUCAGAGCAUUGUUUUAACUAAAUUCUGCUAGGACUUUUUUUGGAAACCACACCAAAGUGCAGCUAUGAUGUUAAACAAAAAUGUUCCUUUGACAAAUGAAAUCUUAAAAAUGGCUACAAGAAAGGAAAAAGUCAGCUUUGAGUGGAAAACAUUUAAUAUGUUUUGAUGAUUUCUUAUCUCAGACAGAAGAGAAGACAAGUUGAUCUUCUCUGCUGAAACUUUUUGAAGUGAGUUCUGACUGAAAAGAUGUGGUGUUUCAACAAAAACAAAUUGUUAUAAAACAUGAUGUAUGCUCAGAAGCAUUAAUGUGUACCUCUCUGCUCCAGGUUUGAACAUUUCUGUCCAUUGAACUAGCCUGUUUCAUUUAUUUUUUAAAUCCUUAUCCAGUUGAUCUUUUUUUGUUCUUCUAUAAGUUUACAGUAGUUCAAUGGCUGCUUUUAUCUGUGAUUUGGGCUUUCAAACAGCACCAAACUCUGCUGUCCCAUCCUGUAAUCUGUCCUUUUGUUAUGGCGACUAGUGAACAGAGGCAACAUGUUAGUGCAAGCACUAUAAAAAUAUCUGUGAAGAAAACAUUCUUCCACUCUAAAGGUUAAGUUCCAUAAGAAUAUAUAUUCUUAAGUAUUUGCACAAUACUUAAAUAUGGUAUGGAUUUUUCUUUUUAAAGGUGGUAAUAUCCUAAUCAUAAAUGUCUUCUUGUUUAUAUGUAUCAUUUUACAGAUUUGUAAUCACAGAAAUCAAUUGCUAGAAUCCAUUUAAGAAAAUCAAAAUAAUUUAACUGAUUUACUUAAAAAAAUGCCUUGUUAGACCACGGAAUUUAAAGUCCUCUUUCAAAAUUAAGGAUGUUUUAUGUAGCAAACUUAUCAUUACACAUUACAUUCUAGUGGCACGUAAAGACUUCUGAUUUAAAACAUGAAUUCUGUGUAGGUUCAAACUGAUGUCUUUGACUUCAGUUCCAGAACUCAAUUUCAGGACUUCUGCUGCUGGUGGCUCAUGGCAGUAUAUUAGUUCUUCCAAUAGGGAUGUGCUCAGGACAAAUUAGUGAACGUAAUUUUAGCUGUAUGAGGUCAUUACAAAUACAGUCUUAGCUCUUCCUAGAGUGGACUUCAUUGUUAAUAUAAAUAUAUAUCUAUAGUUACUGACAUUUAUAUUAUUUGGCUCCUGUCCUAAGUUAUGGAUACAGUGAUGAUAAAAGCCCUUACCUAAGUGAGUCAUGCUUACUAAUUACUUCCAUGGUACUGGGUUCCUGUAAAUAAAGUUGCUCAUGUAUUUAUAAGCAAGUCAAAAUUUAUACAUACGUUUCUAAGAGAGAGUUAUCUUUCUCUCUGGGGCAAACAGCACAGUCUGCUGUUUGGAAAAGAAUGCUGAGAGUAAGGACAUCCAGGGUGCUUCCUUGCUUCUGCGAGGGUGUGUGCUAUCCCCUCUUGUUGGAUAUCCAAGUAAAAUACUGAAUUUGGUCACAUUUUUAAAUUAAGACCCUUCUGCAUUAUUUCAAGGUAGGAAAUGGCUGUUGAUUUUUCCUGGCUGUUUCCAAAGAGGCUGGGGUAAGAGAGUCUCGGUCUAAUUGUUUGUUCUAAAGAUGUAGCUUUCAAGACACAAAGCCUAGCAGUGUGACGUGGAAGAUCUCAAGACAAAGCAGCAGCCUCAACAUUUCUCUCUAAUGAGAACAGGAAAAGACAAUUGAGAUCCCGUAGGAAUGCAGUACGUUUAGGAGAGAAGCAGAGCUCCCUUCACGAAUGGUGAGAGAACCCUGGUGAAUGCUGGACUACCUGCUGUCUCUGGGUGUGACUAGGUGAGUGAAGGAUUUGGAUCACAGCCACAGUAACGUUUUCCAGACAUUUAGAUUGCAACUACUACGCCAGCAAUUUUAUGCCUUCCUUUCUCUGACUCCAACAGUACGCAAGAUAAGCAGCCAGAUUUUCUUCUGCAUUGUGUUUUUUAUCCAUUCAGCCAAAAUUAACAGUCUUCAAGGAUAAUGUAUGCCAAGUGAAUUUAAAUCUUGCGGACUCAAAUCGACCUAAAGUUGAUGGAUACAUUCAUGCCUACUGCUGAAAUCUACCAAUUACACAGAACUAUGCUAACUUACCAUAGAAACAUCUCAUCUAAUAGCACAGAUGAUGUUGAACUAACUAAUUACAUUAUGGCACAUAGACAAUGAAAAACAUAACGAAGAUGACAGCACAGCAACAACAGAUGCUGCACAAAAGAAAAAUUAGAAAAAUAUUGCUCUGCAAAAUGCUGUCUGUUAAGGUUUCUUCUGUUAAAAUUAAUCACAAAAAUUAGUGAAGAUUAGAUUUCAGCAGCAGAUAUGAGCAUUGUAAUGCUAUUUGGAAAACGUCAUUAAACCAUUUAAAGUCCUGCUCCUUCAGAAGGUAAUUCCCAUUUUUCGUAUCACUAUCAGUUUUAAGAUGAGUAAACAGUUUAGUGCCGAUGGCAGUUUCUUGGGAGAAUAUCUUUCCCAGUGAGGAGAGGUCCCGAUGGCUCCUCCAGUGCUGUGUUUGGUAGCUUCCAGCCAUUAGAACUUAGAUAAUUAGGCAACUCAGAUUUUAUUUUAGCUUGGCAUUUGCUCCGGUCUGUGCUCUUGGCUGUCAGUGACAGUUGAUUAUCUGUAGCGUGCCUUGUUACUUGAUAUAUUUUAAACUGUAACAGAUCCUAAAUUCCAAAUCUGAAACUGCUGAGUAUGUUUAAAUGUAAUAUAUACACAGGGAUUACAUCCAGAUGAUACACUUCAUAGACCUGUGAUAAAAAAAAAAAGCAUCACUUCUAGCCACUACGCUGGUCCUCAGCCCCUGCCCCCCUCCCCCCAGUAGCUUUCCAUGAGCUCCCGGCUGCUUCAGCACCAAUCCUGAGUGUAAUCUAGUUGAUGGAGAGAGACAGAAAUGGGCUUUUCCCCUAAAUAUAUAUUUCCUCUAGAAAUGCUUCUGAUGCUAUUCAAGUUUCAAUACGUUAUUGGCUUUAUAAGAAAGCAAAACAUCUAUUUGAUAUCCUGUUUCUCCCAAUUUCUUUAUUUUUUAGAGAGACACUUUUUUUCUCUUCAGAUGCGCGAUUCCCGGGCGCGCAGCUGCUCGUCCGGCGGCGGCCGGGGUGCAGGCACGGCGGAGGCCCACAGGUGGCGGUGUGGUUCAAGCGCACCUGGGCUGUGAUUGCAGAGCCGCGCGGCUGGCCGGCCUGUCGGGAAAGGUGCUCCGCUUCUGCCCUCUGCGCGUCCGUCUGCAGGGGAAGAACCGCGGCUGAAGUUCCGCGCGCUUGAGCGGCGCGCCCCAGCCUUCAGCAGGGACGGAAGCGUUCUGUCGAUCCCGCAACAGCUGCCGCACACCAAGAUGCCUCUGGGUCACCCGGUGGGCGCCGGGUACGGCGCUGGCGGAGCCCCGCGUGCUGCCGCCAGCCGCCUACAGCAGGGUCAGCCCUCCCACCGCACCCCGCUGUCCUGCCUGGCAGCGGGAACCGGCCCUGUGAAGUUCGGUUCUUUCGCAGCUGUGCGGAAUCUCGGCCCCGCGCUGCGCACAGCUGUGCGCUGUGUGUGACGGACGCCUGCACGCGCUCUGCACGUCGGUGCCACGCAGGAGGCUGCUGGUAUCCGCACCCGGCCGCGUGUGCCGAGCGCGCCGGGGUAGCGCCUCGUGCUUAAGGGUACUUCGAGCGUUUUUGAGGGGCUUUUUCACCCGGAUACGCUCACACUUGUCUUGCGCGGCACACUUAGGCCUCAGAAAGCGUGCCGUUAGCGCGAAUUUGUUCCACUUCUCAGAGUCUCUACCGCGCGUUACUUCUGAUCCACCGCCACCCCCGGGGCUUCCCUCUCAGAAACCUGUCUUCUCAAGCAUCCGCCCGCGCACCCGGCGCCGUCCGCAGCACCGUGACCCUCGCAGGGCACUGCUAUAGCGGCGGGCCGUACCCCGGCGCCGAGUACCAGCCGCUGGUUUGGGGCUGGGGGGGGUCUGCCCGGCAGACACUCGCACGUCCCCCGCAGCCCCCGACCCGGCGCGAGAGAGGGCC